rnacentral:lncRNA from 1 species
UGGGAGGAAAGGCAUUAUGGAAAAUGAUUAGAUGUGAGAAUCACAGCAAAGGAAGAAUGGGCAUGAAUAGUAAAUGGUAAAUGUGGGGAUACAGUACUGAACAGCACACUGGAGUUUUUGUCCAGAAGUUUGACUUUAGAAGAUAAGAAAUAACUGAGCGUACAAGCAGGAGUUAGAGGAAGAGACUCAGUACAGAAGAGACAGGAACAAAAGUUCACCUCCAUUCAAUGGGAAAGGAUACAGAUCAAGAGUUCAGGAAAAGUAGGAGAAAGAAGCUCUAUUCCAGAAGCAGUCUGGAGCACAAAGAAUCCCUAAUCACUGACAUUAAGAAAGAAGAAAAAUAUUCCUAGGACGAUCCUGGAGAGCAAAGGUCAUCAGCAGUCACUUGACUUUCCUUGGAUUUCUCAACUGCAAUAGUCACAUGGUCUGCUGAAAAUGAAUUCUCUUUAUUUUCAUCUGAUUUCAAGGAAUUAUGGUUUUCAGUGAUUUCUUCAUUUGGA